UCACUGCUUGCGCAGGCAGUCUGUCUAGAGUCCCCGCCAUUACGCGCUGGCAACUAAACAUAGGGGUUGCGCUCGUUGCGGGACUUAACCCAACACCUCACGGCACGAGCUGACGACGGCCAUGCAGCACCUUGCUUUGUGUCCCGAAGGAAAGCCCCAUCUCUGGGGCGGUCACGCGCAUUCUAGCCUAGGUAAGGUUCCUCGCGUAUCAUCGAAUUAAACCACAUGCUCCACCACUUGUGCGGGCCCCCGUCAAUUCUUUUGAGUUUCACUCUUGCGAGCGUACUCCCCAGGUGGGAUACUUAACGCUUUCGCUAAGCCACGGACCGUCUGUCGCCCGCGGCGAGUAUCCAUCGUUUACGGCGUGGACUAC
rnacentral:misc_RNA from 1 species